AGCUGGAGGCCAUGGAGAAGCAGAUCCACAACCUAUAGAUGAAGCUAGCCCAGCUGUGAGAGCGGAACGCCACGCUGGAAUCAUCCCGGAUUGACGCUCACCUGUCCCAGGUAAAUCUGUGGCGUGAAACAAACACUCCCACAACCUCAACUCCGUGUUCUUCUCUGCCCAGGCCCAACGCACCAAGGACGCGGCCCGCCCAGGUUUCCUUCACUCUGGUGCCUGGGUACCACGCAGCCUGGAUGCAGCAGCAGCGGAAGACACGAGCCAAGCCCUGGGCGAGGACCUCUCCCCCUCCCCACCCGUUUUCGAGAUCUCAACCUGCAACCACUUCGCUCCCCUUUGCGAGACGGAGUGCGAUGUGGUGAUCAUCGGAGACUCCACACAUCCGUGCUACUGCGGCUAAAGGUAAGGUGCGCACUCGCUGUUUUCCUGGUACUCGUGUUGUUGAUGUCACUGCAUAGGUACCCGCGAUCCUGAAUAAGAACAUCGGAGCUGUGGUCCUCCAUGCUGGCAUGAACGACAUCAGGCUGAGGCAGACGGAGAUCCUGAAGAAGGACUUCAGGAGCCGAUUCCGACUAAAAAAGCCAUCCCGAGGCAUACAGAGAUUGUGCCAGCUCCAGUGGCAUCCAGAGAUGGACCAGCUCCAGCCGGGUUCUGCUUUGUGAGGAUUCGGUCAACCUUUAGGGACAUAAUAAUCACAUUGGACGAAGGCAUAUUUGGAAGGAGAACUGCUGGAUGCAGGAGGAUUUGGCUGUGUGUUUGCUGGACUACGCAAACAAGACGGAUUGCCAACAGGAUAUGGAUGGCUGCCCAUUGAGAUAGCUUUGAAGAUCCUUGCAAACACAGAACCUUGCUCAAAAAUCCUGAAGAUUCUGGACUGGCACGAAGAGGCAAAGUGAUAUAUCGUACUCCUGGAACAGCCUGAACCAUGUGUGGACCUCGAGGAACUCUCCGGCAAGCAAGGUGGAUGUUUGACUGAGGUCGAGGCUCGCAAUGUGAUGUUUCAGCUGAUGGAAGCACUGAAGCAUUGCAAGAGCCAGGGGAUACUGCAUCGUGAUGUCAAGCCAGAAAACAUUCUGAUUCAGACAGACACGUUUCAAGUCAAGCUGUUUGACUUGAAAGAGACCUCGUCAAAGACCCUUACAGUUACUUUGCAGGUGUCUGAUGUCUAAAUCUAAUGUAUCUUUGUUAACACUUGAAUAUGCCCCUCCUGCUCCCCGAAAGUCUGUCUCAAGGCAAGGAACUAUACUCAAUUUAAUAAUUUUGAAAAAGUUUGAUUUUCAGAUUAGGAUGUAAAUUCUCCCAACCAGGAGAGGGUGCUAGUUCCAGCCAGCAGCAGGGUGCUAGCAGUCCUGUGUGUGCGCUCAUGUGAAGUACUGUAAUGAGAAAAUGAGCAAAAGGAAAAGAAAAGAAAUAAAAGAAUUGUGUUUUCCAGUAAAAAUGGGAAACUGAUUCAAGGGGGCACCCAUGUGUUUGGUUUGUUUAGAAAUGAAGUCUGUAAUGAAGGAUUUUAACUUAAAUCGCCAUUACACCACUGCUCACAAAGAUGAGUAUGAAAGAUUCACCGGUGACGCCAAAAUUGCUCUCAUCACGAAUUUAAAAAAGUAGAAUACAUCGUCAGCAAAACCUUUUUGCCAAAUGCAUGACGGUGCAAGCAAAGAAGACCUUAUCAGAGGGCGAAAUUGUAAAGCAAUGCACGAUUGAUAUGGCUAAAGCAUUUGGAGAAGAGAAAAUAGUCAAGAACUUUGAGUCUGUAUCUUUGUCCCGCUGAACAGUAACACGUCGAAUUUCUGACUUUCAGUGUCAAGUCUAAGAAAAGCUGAAACUUGCAAUAAACAAUUGCAAAUACUGGCACAGACGUGACAGAUGCCAGUCAGCUCCUGAUCUUUGCAAGAACGAUUACAGAGAACUUUGAUGUUCAAGAGGAGCUGUUAAAGCUGGCUUCAUUACAUGACAUCACUACGCUUCAGUGGCCUGUAUGGCCACACCUGUGUCUCAAAGGAAAGUUGUAUUAUGAGGAAGUAACCUCCAAAUAACCUUGCCUUGUUCUACAUUGAAUCAAACAUGACUAAAUGCACUAAUACUUUGAAUUAUGAAUAUAAUGUUUCAUUUCUAAUAUUGUUAUACUGUUAUGAUCUAGCUGUGCUAAUGCAUAAUUGAGAGCAUGAGCUUCAGGCAGAAUUACAGUUGAACAUGCAAAAUUGAUCUGCUUUAUUGAAUUUGUUUCUCAACAAGGACUUGUCAUAACCACUUAUUCAGAACUGACAUUGAAAAGGGAAAUUAAAUAGUUUUUGGAUUUAGGGUCUCUAGCUUAUAUAGUCAAUGAGAAAAUGAAUCUCAAAUAGCAAGCAUUCUGUUAUUUAGAAAUGAGUUUGUAUUGUGAUUUUCCUUUUGAAUUACCAAAGACCUGAGGAAUUACUGUACAAUGUCUGUUUAAUCAUUGCCUCUCAGUCCUAUGUAGACGUUGUGCUGGAAUGUAAUGUUAAGCUCCAACUCUUCUGCAUUCACGCGUCUCCUGAACAUCUCCCGAUCAGCUACCGGCUCUUUGCGUGUUCGCUCGGCCGAGGUGGAGGGUCAGCGCGCACACAGGAGCAGCAGUGGAGUGAAGUUCUGUGUUGUGUCCGAUCUUCAGUCAAGAGGAGCUGAACAUGCCUUAGAGUUCUUGUACUUGUUGGAUUCUGUAUCACAAGUCAGAGUCUGCUGUUGUGUGGACCACCUGUCUGGCAUUAAACUGACACCAAAACCAGCACAUGUUCACAUGUUCAUAAUUAUACCUGGCUGCUUGAUCUGAAAUUUUUUACAUCACUUAAGUAUGUGGUGGUGUAUUCAUCAAGUGCAAAUGACAAUUUGCAUGAUGUACCAAGUAGUGGGUUUUUUUCUUUUUUCUUUUUCCACUCUGUUUCCGUCACCUGUCUGUCUUGUCAUUGAGAACUUUGAAAGGGCUCAAAGUUGAAUGUAAUCCAUGUUCCAUGUUCAUACUAAUUUACUCCGGUAUUUCUUCUGUUGUUGUAUCCAAUACUCACCUCUUACGAUGUUGAAUCUCUCUGGUCCCCACACCGAACCCACAUUCGGACCCUGGACAUGGACCCUGGAGCCUCAGCAAUCAACAUUCCCCAGCCCAGCAGCACUCCACCCUCCGUGAUAGUCCAUCAGCCAAGCCAGGGUCCUCCAACAGCAUUUCAACCACCUGUGCCACGUCAACCACGUACAUACAUUAGGUGAGUGGAAGGCCGACACUUGCAGAAAGUGUGGUUAUUCUAGGACAUCAGCAACUGGACAUAGCCAGGACAAGGCCAGAAUUUAUUGUCCAGUGACAGAGACGAUGACAAAAGAGCAGCUGCUCAAAAAAAUAAAGAAAAUGUAGAUAUGUUGCAUAUAGCGCUUGUAUUCUUACAAAGCUACAUGUAUAUUUUAUAUUUAAAUAUUUGAUGUUUAAAUAGUAUUUUUCUGUUUUGUCUUUUUUCUUUGCACUGUUUGCACCAAGUUGCACACGAUGUACUUUAUGUAGCAAGGACAACUUACUUUCUGUCCUUUGUGUUUUGUAAUUAUAAGCUCUGUGUUUUGUAAUUAUAUGUUAUGUUGUUUAUGUAGCACCAGGGUCCUGGAGAAACGUUGUCUCAUUUCACUGUGUACUGCAUCA